AUGACGUGGCUGCACGAGGAGCUAGAGAAAUUAAGUAGUGAGGGGCUCCUAUUUAGAUAUAGAAAAUUUACUGGAAGGAGGCCAACCGAGAAUUUCAUGGAUGGUGUGAUAAGCCUUGUCAAAUAUGUCAGGGUGGCCGAUCCUAAUAAGCUAUUGAAUAUAUUGGAUGCUAGUGCAACCUACAGCGGAGACACGCAGUGUAUCGUAGAUAUGUUCAUGUAUCCUGUGUUUAAGCUUGGCCUAGCUUGCUGCGAGGAUUCCCCAAGGCACAGAAUGAAGAUAAACAACGUAGUCAAGGAAUUGAACGCCAUAAAGAGAGCAUGCGAGGGUCAUAUGGCUGUCCAUGAUUUUUGAGCAACCGCCUAA
rnacentral:rRNA from 1 species